rnacentral:rRNA from 1 species
CAGUCGCCGCGGGAAUACGAAGGGUGCAAGCGUUAAUCGGAAUUACUGGGCGUAAAGCGCGCGUAGGUGGUUUGUUAAGUUGGAGGUGAAAUCCCCGGGCUCAACCUGGGAACUGCCUCCAAAACUGGCUGACUAGAGUACGGUAGAGGGUGGUGGAAUUUCCUGUGUAGCGGUGAAAUGCGUAGAUAUAGGAAGGAACACCAGUGGCGAAGGCGACCACCUGGACUGAUACUGACACUGAGGUGCGAAAGCGUGGGGAGCAAACAGGAUUAGAUACCCCGGUAGUCCCUGUCUCUUAUAC